rnacentral:lncRNA from 1 species
UUCCGGGCAAACAAGAGGGUGGAUGAUUUAACUAAGAACUCUUAGUUACAGAUUUUAUCUGCUUAGCAAGCACAUUUCUGACCACUAACUCUAAACAGAACAGAGGCAAGGGGAAUAAAUGAAUUUUGAAUCACACAGUCCCACAUUCCCCACUGAUUUUCUAUAACCUAAGUAAUCUUACGCAUAAACAUAGGCAUCCACUGUAUACAACAGCAUGAUACUAAUAAGCAAAUACAUAUGACUAUAAAGACAAGGAAUAAUUGUUUUAACCAUUGUAGGUUGGGCAGCCAUGAGGUUAAUCAUUUAAACAGGUCUCCACCAUCUUUGUUGUGUACUUUAUUUGCCAGGUCCUCUAAUUGUUCUAUCUCCUCUUUGAUUUUUUUUUUUUUUUUUUUAUUAUCGGUCAAAUUGAAACAACACAUGUUUUUUAUCUUUUCACAACCUUGGUGGUGGAAGAGCAACAGGUAAUCUAUUGUUGCUCUAUUGUCUAAGAUUGCCUGCCUUUGUUCUUGUAAUUCUUGGUUGAUCAGCGCCAAGGCUGAUGAAGUGGCAUUUAAUCCUUUUACUACUUUACAAGCUAAUUUUCGUACUGCUUUUUCAGCAUGUACUCCUAUAGACGGCAUGGCAACCAGAGAUCCUAUCAUGGUUAGUACUUCUGCAUCUGUUAGCAGACCCACAUCAUCAUCGCAUCCUGGUGCAGUAUAAGGUGACCACCGUUUAACUCUGUUAGGCACAAUCAAAUCAGUUCUAUCUGGUAAUACUAUAGUUAAUCGAUUUAAACAGCAACGGGUUUUGGUCAAAUUGGCUGGAAUGUAGUUGAAAGUUUCUCCUUCACAGGUAUAAAACCAUCCCAUUGGCAGGGAAACAUGGCAGUUGCCAUAUACAAUCUUUUGUUCUAUUCGGCAGGCCAUUUCUUUUAACCGUUUGAUCUUCAAACAUUUAGUUGUACAAUUUUCAUACACAGCACAUUUAGUCUUAUUUGACAUGAUCACUUUAGAUGUAUAUAAUUUGACAGCAUUUUUAGGCUUAUAACAUGUGACAGGUCCCCAAUUAUAACUAUCUACAUAAGUAAGGUUCUUUCCUGGAAUAUCUUUAAAUAAAGUAUAAGGCCGUAUUGACUCUAAAGGGGUGCAUACCGGGAUAAGACAAUUUCCUAAUACAUAAUGAAAAUUUACAUCAACACUUAAACAGAAUUCAGAUAGAUUAAGUGAGUUUGCCAAUUGAAUCCAUAUAUUUUUUGUGUGAUCUAACUCCCCUGAGGGUAACACUGUCAAUAUCCUGGUAAAUAUCAUCAUGAGGGCGAAACGUUUCCAAUUCGCUCCAAUCUUAGCUUUGGGUCGCCCGGUUGGCUGGUUAUUUUCCAUUUAUCCUUUUUGAUGUCCGUGGGGGGUCCUGGCUUUAGAUGGUUACGAUGUAUCCAGGCAGAAUGUCCAGCCAUUUUCAUCGCCAAGGGAGUUGACAGGACAACAGGAACCGGUCCCUUCCAACGGGCUUCCAGGGUUUUGGAAUCAAACCUGCGAAUAAAAACCAAAUCUCCCGGCUUAUAGGGUAAAGGUUGUAACGGUUUUUCAUUUGGACUAGUCAUUUUCCUUCGUAAUGUCUCAUGUAGCUCUGACUGAAGCUGAUGAACUGCCUUCAAGGAUUUAAGGAGCCGAAGGUGGGAAAACUUUUCCUUUAGCUCUACAUCUAUUAAUGGAAUGAUUGGGGGAGAUCGCCCGUAAAUAAUUUGGAAGGGGGACAGAUUGAGGGGAGGCUUGGGAGUGCACCUCAUUCGGAGGAGGGCAAAGGGGAGAAGCUCUACCCAACCUAGUUCAGUCUCCAAGCAAAAACAGACCUUUAUUAGUCUGGCCAGACGGCACUCCCAAAGCAAGGUAGCUGAGAGAGGCAGCAGGCACAGAAUCCAAAGCUAUUUUUAUAGGAGACUGAAGGGGGGGUUAACAGGCAGGAACGGGAACAAAGGUUUGUGACUCAUUAUUACAUGCUGAUGGUCAGCAGGCACACAGUAAGACCUUGUGACCACAGGGUCACGGCCGUCACGUACUGAUAGUCAGCCCGUUUUGGUGACGGUUGUUCUACUGAUAGUGAGUCCGGGAAUUUUCCAAGUUCCGGGCAAACAAGAGGGUGGAUGAUUUAACUAAGAACUCUUAGUUACAGAUUUUAUCUGCUUAGCAAGCACAUUUCUGACCACUAACUCUAAAUAGAACAGAGGCAAGGGGAAUAAAUGAAUUUUGAAUCACACAGUCCCACAGUACCUGCCCUAUCUUUUUAUUCCUACCCAUCUCAAUGCUCAACCAUGUUCUGGAUGGUGGCUGCCUAGGGUGAGUCUGUAUGAUCCAGAAUGCCACAUGUUUGUUUUCCAGUGAAUUUAUUUAUGCCUCUCCUACAUAUGCAGUAGUUCUUGAAAAUUCAACCUCCUCCAACCAGCUAAGAUGAUUAACAAUCCUAUUUGGAGCCCGGAGUGUUAUUAGUUGCCUUGUCUCCAACAUGUCUUUCCUUCCAGGCCUUCAUUUUCCCUUCUACCAGCAUCUCAUGGUUGCUAAUUGGAAGGCAAUUGUCAUUAAAAAUUAGGCCUCAGGUGCUAUGGGAAAAGUCUGGGAAUCCAGAUAGUAAAUUGAGGAGUCUGUCUACUUGUGUUACUUUUUCCAUCUUUUAUUUCUGAUGCUCCAA